rnacentral:rRNA from 1 species
UCAGCGGGGAAAGAAGACCCUGUUGAGCUUGACUCCNGUCUGGCAUUGUUCGGAGACAUGCCGAGGAGUAGAAUAAGUGGGAGAUGAGGACUCACACGGUGGAGUCGGAAACGGCUCUUUCGUGCCUUAUCGCCGGUGAAAUACCACUACUCGCAUCGUUUCCUUACUUACUCGGUUAUGCGGAGCGCGUGCUGUUUGGUCCUGGUCUUUGGCCGGUGCCGUUUUGUACGUACUCGGGCGCCAGUGUUUCGUGGGCUGGUUAACGCGGGUCGGGCACUGUUCAGGUUACGUACUUGCUUUGACUCGUUCUCGUCGUUUUCCACGUCUCUCGGCACUGUUUCCGGUCGGGAACGUCUCGGUAUCGUGUCGGAGUCCGUCGCGGCCGGCAGUCACGAUCGGUUCCCGGUCGACUUAAGCGCAAUCGCGACGCCUGUCAGUCAGAACGGUCUACGGUAGAGUUUCAGCGCGCGAUGGCUGCUUCGCGGUGGUCAUUCGCGUGAAGUUCUAUCGCCCGGUUUGGCCGGGCGUCGUUGCGUGAUCCGAUCCGAGGACACCGCCAGGUGGGGAGUUCGACUGGGGCGGUACAUCUGUCAAAGAAUAACGCAGGUGUCCUAAGGCCAGCUCAGCGAGGACGGAAACCUCGCGUAGAGCAAAAGGGCAAAAGCUGGCUUGAUCCCGGACGCUCAGUACGCGUAGGGACUGCGAAAGCAUCGGCCUCUCGAUCCUCUCGUCC